AGCAGCCGCGGUAAUUCCAGCUCCAAUAGCGUAUAUUAAAGUUGCUGCAGUUAAAAAGCUCGUAGUUGAAUUUCGGGACUAAUAUGUCGGUCGUGCCUCGGUACGUACUGGUAUUUUUGGUUUCUCCCUUCUGACGAACCUUGAUGUCAUUAAUUUGGUGUCUUGGGGAAUCAGGACUGUUACUUUGAAAAAUUAGAGUGUUUAAAGCAGGCUCACGCUUGAAUACAUUAGCAUGGAAUAAUGAAAUAGGACGUUUGAUUCUAUUUUGUGUUUCUAGGAUUGACGUAAUGAUUAAUAGGGAGUAGUUGGGGGCGAUUAGUAUUCAAUUGUCAGAGGUGAAAUUCUUGGAUUUAUUGAAGACUAACUACUGCGAAAGCAUUUGCCAAGGAUGUUUUCUAUUAAUCAAAGAACGAAAGUUAGGGGAUCGAAGACGAUCAGAUACCGUCGUAGUCUUAACCAUAAACUAUGCCGACUAGGGAUCGAUGAUGGUGUAUUUUUAAUGACUCA
rnacentral:rRNA from 1 species